rnacentral:rRNA from 1 species
CCAGACUCCUACGGGAGGCAGCAGUAGGGAAUCUUUCACAAUGGGCGAAAGCCUGAUGGAGCAACGCCGCGUGCAGGAUGAAGGCCUUCGGGUUGUAAACUGCUUUUAUAAGCGAGAAAUAUGAUGGUAACUUAUGAAUAAGGAUCGGCUAACUACGUGCCAGCAGCCGCGGUAAUACGUAGGGGGCAAGCGUUAUCCGGAUUUACUGGGUGUAAAGGGAGCGUAGACGGCAUGGCAAGUCAGAUGUGAAAGCCCGGGGCUCAACCCCGGGACUGCAUUUGAAACUGUCAGGCUGGAGUGCAGGAGAGGUAAGUGGAAUUCCUAGUGUAGCGGUGAAAUGCGUAGAUAUUAGGAGGAACACCAGUGGCGAAGGCGGCUUACUGGACUGUAACUGACGUUGAGGCUCGAAAGCGUGGGGAGCAAACAGGAUUAGAUACCCUGGUA